rnacentral:rRNA from 1 species
UACGGAGGGUGCGAGCGUUGUCCGGAAUCACUGGGCGUAAAGGGCGCGUAGGCGGCCCGGCAAGUCUGUGGUGAAAGCUCAGGGCUCAACUCUGAGUCGGCCACGGAUACUGCGGGGCUCGAGCACGGUAGAGGCAGGUGGAAUUCCGGGUGUAGCGGUGGAAUGCGUAGAGAUCCGGAAGAACACCGGUGGCGAAGGCGGCCUGCUGGGCCGGGAGGUGGUAGCGAUACACCGUUAGCUGACGCUGAGGCGCGACAGCGUGGGGGAGCAAACAGGA